rnacentral:rRNA from 1 species
CCUACGGGGGGCUGCAGUGGGGAAUUUUGGACAAUGGGCGCAAGCCUGAUCCAGCCAUUCCGCGUGAGUGAAGAAGGCCUUCGGGUUGUAAAGCUCUUUCGCAAGGGAAGAAAACUUAUCCUCUAACAACGGAUGAGGUUGACGGUACUUUGAUAAGAAGCACCGGCUAACUCCGUGCCAGCAGCCGCGGUAAUACGUAGGGUGCGAACGUUAAUCGGAAUUACUGGGCGUAAAGUUGUAACAGGGAUGUGAAAUCCCCGGGCUCAACUUGGGAACUGCGUUUGAAACUACAAGACUAGAAUAGGUCAGAGGGGGGUAGAAUUCCACGUGUAGCAGUGAAAUGCGUAGAGAUGUGGAGGAAUAUCAAUGGCGAAGGCAGCCCCCUGGGAUCAUAUUGACGCUCAUGCACGAAAGCGUGGGGAGCAAACAGGAUUAGAUGCCCCGGUAGUC